AGUGAACGCUGGCGGUAGGCCUAACACAUGCAAGUCGAACGGCAGCACAGUAAGAGCUUGCUCUUACGGGUGGCGAGUGGCGGACGGGUGCGGAAUACAUCGGAAUCUACUUUUUCGUGGGGGAUAACGUAGGGAAACUUACGCUAAUACCGCAUACGACCUCCGGGUGAAAUCAGGGGAACUUCGGACCUUGCGCGAUUGAAUGAGCCGAUGUCGGAGUAGCUAGUUGGCGGGGUAAAGGCCCACCAAGGCGACGAUCCGUAGCUGGUCUGAGAGGAUGAUCAGCCACACUGGAACUGAGACACGGUCCAGACUCCUACGGGAGGCAGCAGUGGGGAAUAUUGGACAAUGGGCGCAAGCCUGAUCCAGCCAUACCGCGUGGGUGAAGAAGGCCUUCGGGUUGUAAAGCCCUUUUGUUGGGAAAGAAAAGCAGCAGGUUAAUACCCCGCUGUUCUGACGGUACCCAAAGAAUAAGCACCGGCUAACUUCGUG
rnacentral:rRNA from 1 species